CCUACGGGUGGCAGCAGUGGGGAAUAUUGCACAAUGGGGGAAACCCUGAUGCAGCGACGCCGCGUGAGGGAAGAAGGACUUCGGUAUGGAAAACUCUUUCAGCAGGGAAGAAAAUGACGGUACCUGACCAAGAUGCCCCGGCUAACUACGUGCAAGCAGCCGCGGUAAUACGUAGGGGGCCAGCGUUAUCCGGAUUUACUGGGUGUAAAGGGAGCGUAGACGGGUGGGUAAGUCUGGAGUGAAAUGCGGGGGCUCAACCCCAGGACUGCUCUUGAGACUGGCAGUCUGGAGUGCAGUAGAGGUAAGUGGAAUUCCUGGUGUAGCGGUGAAAUGCGUAGAUAUUACGAGGAACACCAGUGGCGAAGGCGGCUUACUGGACUGUCACUGACGUUGAGGCUCGAAAGCGUGGGGAGCAAACAGGAUUAGAUACCCCUGUAGUC
rnacentral:rRNA from 1 species